rnacentral:rRNA from 1 species
GAUGAACGCUGGCGGCGUGCCUAAUACAUGCAAGUCGAGCGAACAGACGAGGAGCUUGCUCCUCUGACGUUAGCAGCGGACGGGUGAGUAACACGUGGAUAACCUACCUAUAAGACUGGGAUAACUUCGGGAAACCGGAGCUAAUACCGGAUAAUAUAUUGAACCGCAUGGUUCAAUAGUGAAAGACGGUUUUGCUUUCACUUAUAGAUGGAUCCGCGCCGCAUUAGCUAGUUGGUAAGGUAACGGCUUACCAAGGCAACGAUGCGUAGCCGACCUGAGAGGGUGAACGGCCACCCUGGCACUGAGACACGGUCCAGACUCCUACGGGAGGCAGCAGUAGGGAAUCUUCCGCAAUGGGCGAGAGCUGGACGGAGCAACGCCGCGUGAGUGAUGAAGGUCUUCGGAUCGUAAAACUCUGUUAUUAGGGAAGAACAAAUGUGUAAGUAACUAUGCACGUCUUGACGGUACCUAAUCAGAAAGCCACGGCUAACUACGUG